rnacentral:lncRNA from 1 species
AAGGGCCUGAAGUUCAGGGCACACUGCAGGGACCAAGGAGCUGGCCACCACCAGGCUUUCAAGGAACUGAUGUGCAGGGAGAGUCCCCUUCCGUAGUUCUGCACUUUUCGGAGAGGAUUUGGAAUUGUGAGGAUUUAAUCCAGGAUAUUUCAUUGCAUUUAAACAAUUAUCUUUUAAAUGAUUGUUGAUCAUAAGCCACAAGGAAACUAUACUCUCCAUUGUCAAGAUUUUGACACUAAUUUUGGUAAGGAUUUGAAAAAUGGGCAGGUGAGGAUACAGUCAUCCUGCGAAGCUGUGGCUAUCUGUGGAAAGUGACACCAUGAACUGAAGGAAUUAACUAGUUGUCUCAUGGGAAAGACCUGCUGUAUAGGGAAGCUGGUUUUAUAGGUGAGAGAAUGAGUGCAUUUUGUCAGGAGCAACAGCUCUAGAUCUUUAAAUGUGAACUUCAUAGUCCUGGGAGAUAAGCAGGUAAGAUAUGUAUGAGACCUCUGCUCUACACGAAGGUCCUGUGAAUCCGAAACACAUACACUGAGGAGACACACUGCAUCAGACUGGGUCACAUGGUAUGAAUAAUUGG